rnacentral:rRNA from 1 species
UUGAACGCUGGCGGAAUGCUUUACACAUGCAAGUCGAACGGCAGCACGGGGGCAACCCUGGUGGCGAGUGGCGAACGGGUGAGUAAUGUAUCGGAACGUACCCAGUCGUGGGGGAUAACUAUCCGAAAGGAUAGCUAAUACCGCAUACGUCCUGAGGGAGAAAGCGGGGGAUCGCAAGACCUCGCGCGAUUGGAGCGGCCGAUAUCGGAUUAGCUAGUUGGUGAGGUAAAGGCUCACCAAGGCGACGAUCCGUAGCGGGUCUGAGAGGACGACCCGCCACACUGGAACUGAGACACGGUCCAGACUCCUACGGGAGGCAGCAGUGGGGAAUUUUGGACAAUGGGGGAAACCCUGAUCCAGCCAUUCCGCGUGAGUGAAGAAGGCCUUCGGGUUGUAAACUGCUUUUGUACGGAACGAAAAAGUCUUCUCUAAUACAGGGGGCGAAUGACGGUACCGUAAGAAUAAGCACCGGCUAACUACGU